ensembl:lncRNA
CAGCUAUAAUCAAAAGUACAUAGUGUACUUUGUCUUUGACUAACAUAAAUAGUUGUCAGGAUGGACUCCAAUAGAGCUCUCCAUGUUAUUUUGACUCCAGCACAAUGGAAGUAAUUCCUUAUUAUGGCGAGUUGAGACAAAUUAUCUAAAAUUAUAGGGUCGUUGGAUUUCUCUACAAAUAGCAACCAAACACCCUCACAUGUUGCUGUCGAGUGGCACCAAGAGCUCCAGCUGUUAUAAGAGAUCAUUUCUUGACUCUGUCCCAUGGAACUAAAUUGCUUCUUUUCCUGCUUCACUUCAUUAGGUGGGUGAUCAGUGGGUUUCCACUGGAGUAUGAAGAUAAUAUCCUCCAACUAGACCAAGCCUUUGAUGCUGAGAUCACACUCGGACCGUGCGUGCCGCCGCCGGGUACCGGAGCGGGGCCGGACGGAUCAGCGUGGGCUGAAUGCCCUCUACCGGGGGAACCCGGAGGUUACCCACAGCCGCACCAUCGGAGGGGGCCGUGGGAAUAAAAUCAACGGUGCUCUUCGGAGCUCUGAUGCUUCUGAGAGGGAAGGGGGAAAGCGUGCCUGGCUCUUCUUCAUCCUUGGUAAUUAAACGAACAAGGAAAAAGAGACAGAUUAAUUGAUUGAACUGGUUCCAGGAGAAACCAUUAGUCCUGUUCCUCUUCUGCUCUAUAUGGUGUUUAAACAACUCUGAAAUGGAGCCCGGUGAAUCCUGCCAACAUAUUUCUAUCUGAAGCUUAGAACAAUUCAUUUUCCUAAAUCACAAGUCCUUGGUUUGAUAAUGAGCGUGGGGAUUCCUAUUUCAGCCUGGAUAACUGUUCACCUCAAGAAUGUGCUGCAGAUCCUCUGCCCUCCCAGGAAGACCUACAUGUUUGGAGAAAGCACUGUGAUUUGAAAUCUGUGAGGAAGACCACAAAAGGCAGAUGAGGAUGUGUCAUCCCAGACACACCUGUUUGAGAAUGACAUAGCCAAAGAGAAGAAAGCCCAAGAGGAGAGUCCUGUGGUCAGUCCAUAACCAUCCAUCUCUGACACCCCUCCAUGUCUACUCUCAGCCCCCCCUCCACAUGGGUCCCUCCCACACCAUCCUUCCUGACUCCCAGUGGGCUUCCCACAGCCUGCAGCUCUCCCAGAACAACCCCAACAUGGCUCCAUGCCAUGGGGCACUGCUGGGCUCUGCUCACUAGAGGAUUCUCCUGCAGCUCCUCUGCUAUCAGAACCUCACCAUGUAAGAGCAAUACACCUUGGCACACUCCUGGGCCUGGCCAUGGCAUUGGAGCUAUGUGAUGAAGCAAUCAGUUCUCUUAAGUGCUUAUUCACUAGCAAACCCAUGAAGUCUCUGGUGACACCCAACAGUCAGGUUUCUUUAAUUAAACAUUUUGAAGGUUUCUGAUUUGUAGCAAAUACGUGUUUAUUAAUAUCUUUUCGUAUUUAUCUCCAUAAGAAGAUUGAAAAGAAGUAUUUUACUUGUUUUGUUUUUUCUUCUCUGAAGAAAAAUAAACAUAGAAGAUGUGUCUGUCUCCCUCUCCCCAAAUAAAUAAGUCUCUGUAUUUUUCACUGAAGGCCACCAUUGCCUGACCACCCAGCCCCACUGAUUGGCCUCAAGUGGGAAGGCAUCAUGGUAGCUGGCACUGUGUGGCAGGUGAGCAGAGAAGGUGUGGGUGCUCCAUUCCUGGAGGCAUUCAAGCCCAGGCUGGAUGGGCUGCCCUAAGCAGCCUGAGCUGGUAGAGGACAGCCAUGCCCAUGGCAGGGGGUUGGAACUGGGUGGGCUUUGGUAUCCCUCCCAGCUCUAGCCAUUCUAUGAUUCUAUGAAUUAAAAAGUGCAUUUUGGAAGUAGCUGGUAGCUUUGUGACUAUCUGCGUACAUGAGAGCUAAUAAAAUUAUUGUCACUCAGCAGCACUUGAUUGCAACCUAAUGGCUAGAACAGUUUUUCAGCCAAGAAGCAGGGAAAAAUGCCUCCUGGCAGAGCACAACUACAUACAUGGGGAAAAUAGUUGUUAUUUCAGGUGCUUAGGUUCCCAGUAGAAAAUAAGUUUAAUUAAUUUAUUUAUUUUUCUAAUUUGUGAAAAUAUGCCUACAGUGACCUCUAGGAACACGUGCAAAAGCCAUAAAACCAGAUUCAUUCAUUAACCAUCUGACACAAUGUCAAUCGUAGAUAGUCAAAUAAACAACUAACACGUGAGGAAAACUCAAACUCCUCCCUUCCAACUCUCCAUAGGAAAAAGCCUUAGAGAGUGAACACGCUUGGCAGCGUGCCUUGGGCUCCUCACUCAGUGCCUUUUUUGGGUGACAGAGAGAAUGGAGUCUGAACCGCAGCGAUGAACACUCUCAUUGCUGUUUUAUAUUCAUGCCUUUCAAUUAAAAUCCAUAAAUGUUUAUACUUUUUUCCAUUUUUUUUUCUUUUUAAUGUGUUACAUGGGAAAUAGGAAUGAGUUACAAAAAUGAAUAUGUAAAGCGUUUUCAUCUCUGCGAUGGGCAGAGAGCUGCAAAUUAGGGUUUCUGGCUCCUCCUCCAACCUCUGCCACUCUUCUGCUCUCUGAUCCUGGGGCAGCUACUCAUCCAGUGUGGUUGGAUGUGCAAAAUUCACUACACUGGGCUUGCCAGCUCCUUGUAACUCAGCCUACUGCUCUUUUGCUAAUCUUUGAAAUUCUCUUCUUGCUGUAGGAUGCUUUUAACAGUGAAACUAUUUGAGGAAAAGUCAGGUCCACUUCAGUAAUGGAAUGAAAAAAGUAAUGGAAGGAGCCCAGGCUCUCCUUGAAGCAGCAGGGAGUAUCAGCCUCCCAUGGCCAAGUGACAGCAGCACUGAGAUCUUGGUGCUUCACACCUUUUCCAACACUUCCAUGUGAUUGCAGUGACUUUGCCCUUGCCGGUGCCUUCAGUCCCUGAAGGAAGUACCUAUCUGAACCUGAAGUGCUGUCUUUGCUGUGAUGCCACCAGCAACUACAGUUUUCCUCCUGCAAAAACCUCCUUAUGCAUUAUGAAACAAUAUGUGUUAUGUUUUGCUUUAUAAAUAAUCAGUUUUUGCAAACUUAUAUAUCAUCUGUGUGACAAACACUUUGUUCCAUGGUAAUGAAUACAAGUCUGUGUCCAAACAUCACGUUUAAACACCAAAAAAAAAAAAAAAAAAAAAAAAAAAAAUCCUUUGAGGCUACAUCUUCAUGUUCAACAGAUGAGGUUCUGUUCAACCUGGAGCUCUGUGACUGUGAUGAACACAGAACAGCACAGGAGUAAAUCUUCCCUCUACUUUGCCCCCCCCCCCCCCGGGACAAUGUUUUCUAGAAAAGAUCAGACGGUGUUUUAAUGCCUGGGGAAAAACAGAACGUGACCCACAGUAUAUUUAGGCAGUUCCAUUUCUGCUUGCUAUUUUUAAAAGCAUAUGCGUUAUUUAAAAAUAAUUAGCUUGAGCCCAUUUAUGUACAAUGUAUAUAUUGCACAUAUGUCUAUACAGAACAAGAAACAAUGUAAUCACAACCUUACUACACUAAAGGUCUUGGCAUAAGAAACACAGACAGUGAAAGCCAAAGAGAUUUUACCUGUCAUAUGUAUUUCCCUCAUUUAAAUAUAUUAAAACAGAACAAAAAUAAACUUCUGAUGCUCAGAGUUUAACCCAGUGUAACAUAGUAGUUAUUUCAGUCUUUACUACAACAAUUAUUGAUAUUCUAUAUGUUCAUGUGCAGUAAAACGUGAGACAGAAAUCUCGAUGACUUAUUGUUCUGCAACUUCAAAUUUCAUCUGUUGUUUGUGGAAAGAAAAGAUAUCUUCAGAUAUGUACACACAUUUUUCUCUAAAUGUCUCUGCAUGGCAAGUAAGGCUGUAUGGGGCGAAAGGGCGACAGCAGGUUUUACUCUGCAAAUGUGAGCAUGUGCAUCUGCAGUCUUCUGUCCCUUUAAAAUUUAAUUAC